GGUGCAUUCGUUCAGUGAUUAGGAUGCCUCACUGUCUAUGAGGAGACCACGGGUUUGAAUCCCGUAUGCACCG
rnacentral:tRNA from 1 species